UACGUAGGGGGCAAGCGUUGUCCGGAAUCAUUGGGCGUAAAGAGCGUGUAGGCGGCUCGAUAAGUCUGCUGUGAAAGCCCAGGGCUCAACCCUGGAAGGCCGGUGGAAACUGUCGGGCUAGAGUCCGGAAGAGGCGUGUGGAAUUCCCGGUGUAGCGGUGAAAUGCGCAGAUAUCGGGAGGAACACCAAUGGCGAAGGCAGCUCGCUGGGACGGUACUGACGCUGAGACGCGAAAGCGUGGGGAGCGAACAGG
rnacentral:rRNA from 1 species